CCUACGGGAGGCUGCAGUCGAGAAUUAUUCACAAUGGGGGAAACCCUGAUGGUGCGACGCCGCGUGGGGGAAUGAAGGUCUUCGGAUUGUAAACCCCUGUCAUGUGGGAGCAAAUUAAAAAGAUAGUACCACAAGAGGAAGAGACGGCUAACUCUGUGCCAGCAGCCGCGGUAAUACAGAGGUCUCAAGCGUUGUUCGGAAUCACUGGGCGUAAGGCGUGCGUAGGCUGUUUCGUAAGUCGUGUGUGAAAGGCGCGGGCUCAACCCGCGGACGGCACAUGAUACUGCGAGACUAGAGUAAUGGAGGGGGAACCGGAAUUCUCGGUGUAGCAGUGAAAUGCGUAGAUAUCGAGAGGAACACUCGUGGCGAAGGCGGGUUCCUGGACAUUAACUGACGCUGAUGCACGAAGGCCAGGGGAGCGAAAGGGAUUAGAUACCCCAGUAGUC
rnacentral:rRNA from 1 species